rnacentral:rRNA from 1 species
GACGAACGCUGGCGGCGUGCCUAAUACAUGCAAGUCGAACGAGAGCAACCGGUGCUUGCACUGGUCAAUCUAGUGGCGAACGGGUGAGUAACACGUGGGUAACCUGCCCAUCAGAGGGGGAUAACAUCCGGAAACGGAUGCUAAAACCGCAUAGGUCUUCGAACCGCAUGGUUUGAAGAGGAAAAGAGGCGCAAGCUUCUGCUGAUGGAUGGACCCGCGGUGCAUUAGCUAGUUGGUGAGGUAACGGCUCACCAAGGCCGUGAUGCAUAGCCGACCUGAGAGGGUGAUCGGCCACAUUGGGACUGAGACACGGCCCAAACUCCUACGGGAGGCAGCAGUAGGGAAUCUUCCGCAAUGGACGCAAGUCUGACGGAGCAACGCCGCGUGAGUGAAGAAGGUUUUCGGAUCGUAAAACUCUGUUGUUAGGGAAGAACAAGUGCUAGAGUAACUGUUAGCGCCUUGACGGUAUCUAACCAGAAAGCCACGGCUAACUACGUG